rnacentral:tRNA from 1 species
AUUCAAAUAGUUUAAGAUAAAAUAUUGAUUUGUGGGAUCGAAGAUAAAAUAUUUUUUUGAAUA